UUUUUCUGAUUUGAUACUUAUGGUUUGUUCAGCUUUUUACAAAUUUGUCAUUUCUUUCUCAUUCUAAAUGAUUUUUUUUUUUUUGCACUUUGUAGCUGUUAAUUUGGUGUUAUUUUUCUUAAAUAAGCCCUCCAGAUUGCAUAACGUUUAGGCCCCCAAAGUCCAGACCACUCCAGUUCCCAGCCUCACCAUUUGUUCAGAAAAAGAAUAUUUCCCAUCCUCCUAAAAGGAACAAAAGCUGUUGCAAGUAUUGAAUUCCCUAGUCACAGGGUUUGUGGGGAUCUGGGGUCCACACAGAGGCCUCUGGGUUGGGUUCUUGUGAGUCCUCUCUUCCUGGCUUGGAGAUGGGUGUCUUUCUGCUGUGUCUUCACAUGGUGGGAAGAGAGAAAGAGAGAAAGAGAGAAAGAGAGAGAAAGAGAUAUGGUAUGUCUUCUUCUUCUUCUUCUUUUUUUUUCCCGAGACGGAGUCUAGCUCUGCUGCCAGGCUGGAGUGCAGUGGUGCAAUCUUGACUCACUGCAACCUCCUCCUCCUGGGUUCAAGGGAUUCUCCUGCCUCAGCCUCCCGAGUAGCUGGGAUUACAGGCAUGCGCCACCACGCCUGGCUAAUUUUUGUAUUUUUAGUAGAGAAGGGGUUUCACCAUGUUGGCCAGGCUGGUCUCAAACUCCUGACCUCAGGUGAUCCUCUGGCCUCUCAAGUGUUGGGAUUACAGGCGUGAGCCACCAUGCCCGGCCAAGAUUGUGUCUUAAUUCAACACUGUGUACCUUUCAUGUUGUGCAGUGCCAGGCAUGUUGCUGUGUUUGUUUAUUACUUGUAAUUUACUAGAUUCUUCUAUUUCUUGACCUUCUGGAAUUGAACACAAUCAAUUGCUAUUAGUUAUUUAUUUAUUUGCUUUUUUAUUGUUUUCUUAAGCUUGUGAGGUCUUUAGGUGAGAGUGGGAAGGGAGUGGCUUCCAACACACGAAACAUCCAAGGAAGAAGUCAGAGUUCCAUGUAUAAAACCUAAAGAAAUGGCUUCUUUUUCUAUUUUAAGCAAGGUAGUGGAGAUGUUCUGUUCUGAAGGUUGCAGUCAACACUAUCACAAGGUACAGGGACAGGCUGGAGAAUUCCUUUCUAUCAAAGUCUUAGACCAGUAGAGUUAGCACUAAGAGGAAUGCAACCCAUUCAUUUUACUGAUGAGGAGACAGAAGGUCAAGGUGGACCAUGGUGGGGUUUCACUCAACAUUCUGGAUUCCCCAUCCUGAUAGUUCCUUCUGUAGAUGAGCCAGUAUUGAUACAUUACUGAGUCCUAAUUUUUUUACUAGGAUAAUCACUAAAAUCCAUAUUUAGGUUAGAGUUCACUCUUUGUGUUGUACAAUCCGUGGGUUUUGAAAAAUGCAUAAUGACAUCCAUCCACCAUGAUAGUAUCAAACAGAAGACCUCCACUGCCCUAGAGACCCUUGAUGCUCCUCCUGUUCCUCCCUCCCUUCUAACCCCUGGCAACCAUUGCUGUCUUUACUGUCUCCACGGUUUGGCCCUUUCUAGAACAUCACAGAGUGGAAACCAUGCGGUGGGGAGCCUUUUCAGAUUGGCUUCUUUCUCGGCUCACAGGAAGAAAUGAUGAAUUGGGGAUCAGACACCUGAGAGUUGGGAUUUUUUUUUUAAUUACAUGCCUUUUUGAAAAACUGGACUUUGUAUUUAUAAGCUAGGAUCUGUGAUACAGAAGGAACCAUCGGGAUGGGGAAUCCAGAAUGUUGAGUCAAACCCCACCGUGGUCCACCUUGACCUUCUGUCUCCUCAUCAGUAAAAUGAAUGGGUUGCAUUCCUCUUAGUGCUAACUCUACCUAAGACUUUGAUGGAGAGGAAUUCUCCAACCUGUCCCUGUACCUCGUGAUAGUGUUGAUUUCACUUCACACUCCUCCAUGUCUUGUUGCAGCUUGCCGGCUCAUUUCUUCUUAUUCCUGAAUAACGUGGGAGUCUUCUCUACAGAUCCUCCCAGGUGGUUCCACGGGGGAGCUGAGUGGAGCUUCUGUGAUCUAGUGACCUAGUCCCCAGCAUGGAGUGCUCGGAAGUGCCCUCCUUGAACAUGUAAACAUCCCACCAAGUUGCCUCCCUUCUCUUGCUAUUUUGAUGUAGCUUUCUUUUCAAUGGUCUUAUUUCUGGGUCUAGCCCCCAGACACACUUUCCACCCCAUGUCCUAACCUACACUCUGCAGCACAUCGCACCUGUGCAGGGUGAUCGGUGAUUGCAGGCCUGGGUCCACGUCUCUGCUCUGCUUCUUGCUGGCCACGAGGCUGCGUGCUCCUUACUGGCCCCUGCGUGCUCAUCUGUACAGUGUGCAGGAGCAGGAGCAUCUGCCGGCAGACUUCUUGUGAGAUUCUAGUUCUGAGGCCUCCAGA
rnacentral:lncRNA from 1 species